rnacentral:rRNA from 1 species
GACGAACGCUGGCGGCGUGCUUAACGCAUGCAAGUCGAACGGUAAGGCCCUUUCGGGGGUACACGAGUGGCGAACGGGUGAGUAACACGUGGGUGAUCUGCCCUGCACUUUGGGAUAAGCCUGGGAAACUGGGUCUAAUACCGGAUAGGACUACGCGAUGCAUGUCGUAUGGUGGAAAGCUUUUGCGGUGUGGGAUGGGCCCGCGGCCUAUCAGCUUGUUGGUGGGGUGAUGGCCUACCAAGGCGACGACGGGUAGCCGGCCUGAGAGGGUGUCCGGCCACACUGGGACUGAGAUACGGCCCAGACUCCUACGGGAGGCAGCAGUGGGGAAUAUUGCACAAUGGGCGCAAGCCUGAUGCAGCGACGCCGCGUGGGGGAUGACGGCCUUCGGGUUGUAAACCCCUUUCAGCACAGACGAAGCGUAAGUGACGGUAUGUGCAGAAGAAGCACCGGCCAACUACGUG